rnacentral:rRNA from 1 species
GAUGAACGCUGGCGGCGUGCUUAACACAUGCAAGUCGAACGGAAAGGCCUCUGCUUGCAGGGGUACUCGAGUGGCGAACGGGUGAGUAACACGUGGGUGAUCUGCCCUGCACUUCGGGAUAAGCCUGGGAAACUGGGUCUAAUACCGGAUAGGACAAUGGUUUGGAUGCUGUUGUGGAAAGUUUUUCGGUGUGGGAUGAGCUCGCGGCCUAUCAGCUUGUUGGUGGGGUAAUGGCCUACCAAGCCGUCGACGGGUAGCCGGCCUGAGAGGGUUUACGGACGCACUGGGACUGAGAUACGGGCCACAGUCGUACGGGAGGCAGCAGGGGCGAAUGUUGGACAAUGGGCGCAAGCCUGAGGGAGCGAGGCCGCGUGGGGGAUGACGGCCUUCGGGUUGUAAACACCUAUCGCUAGGGAAGAAGCGUUUUUGUGACGGUACCUGGAGAAGAAGCACCGGCUAACUACGUG